rnacentral:rRNA from 1 species
UUUUCGCAAUGCCCGAAAGGGUGACGAAGCGACGCCGCGUGGGUGAAGAAGGCCUUCGGGUUGUAAAACCCUGUCAGGAGUUAAGAAAUGUAGGUUCGAAAAUAUUGGACCUAUUUGACAAAAACUCCAAAGGAAGCCACGGCUAACUCUGUGCCAGCAGCCGCGGUAAUACAGAGGUGGCAAGCGUUGUUCGGAAUUAUUGGGCGUAAAGAGCACGUAGGUGGAUUUGUAAGUUAGAUGUGAAAGCCUUCUGCUCAACGGAAGAAUUGCAUCUAAAACUGCAAACCUUGAGUAUAGGAGGGGAGAGUGGAACUUCUGGUGGAGCGGUGAAAUGCGUAGAUAUCAGAAGGAACGCCGGCGGCGAAAGCGGCUCUCUGGUCUAUAACUGACACUGAGUGUGCGAAAGCUAGGGGAGCAAACGGGAUUAGAUACCCCGGUAGUCCUAGCCGUAAACGAUGGGCACUAAGUAGAGGGGUU